GACAGAGGGUGCUAGCGUUGUUCGGAAUUACUGGGCGUAAAGAGUGCGUAGGCGGUUUUCUAAGUUUGGUGUGAAAUCUCCCGGCUCAACUGGGAGGGUGCGCCGAAAACUGGAAGGCUUGAGUAUGGGAGAGGUAAGCGGAAUUCCUGGUGUAGCGGUGAAAUGCGUAGAUAUCAGGAGGAACACCUGUGGUGUAGACAGCUUACUGGACCAUCACUGACGCUGAGGUACGAAAGCGUGGGUAGCAAACAGG
rnacentral:rRNA from 1 species